rnacentral:rRNA from 1 species
GAUGAACGCUGGCGGCGUGCCUAAUACAUGCAAGUCGAGCGAACAGAAAAAGAGCUUGCUCCUCUGACGUUAGCGGAGGACGGGUGAGUAACACGUGGAUAACCUACCUAUAAGACUGGGAUAACUUCGGGAAACCGGAGCUAAUACCGGAUAAUAUAUUGAACCGCAUGGUUCAAUAGUGAAAGACGGUUUUGCUGUCACUUAUAGAUGGAUCCGCGCCGCAUUAGCUAGUUGGUAAGGUAACGGCUUACCAAGGCAACGAUGCGUAGCCGACCUGAGAGGGUGAUCGGCCACACUGGAACUGAGACACGGUCCAGACUCCUACGGGAGGCAGCAGUAGGGAAUCUUCCGCAAUGGGCGAAAGCUUGACGGAGCAACGCCGCGUGAGUGAUGAAGGUCUUCGGAUCGUAAAACUCUGUUAUUAGGGAAGAACAAAUGUGUAAGUAACUAUGCACGUCUUGACGGUACCUAAUCAGAAAGCCACGGCUAACUACGUG